GCCCCCGUGGCGCAGUGGUAACGCGUCGCACUUGUAUUGCGCAAGCGCAAUAUACAAUUGAUGCGAAGAUCACAAGUUCAAUUCUUGUCGAGGGCA
rnacentral:tRNA from 1 species